GCCUACAUGAAGUCGGAAUUGCUAGUAAUCGCGGAUCAGCAUGCCGCGGUGAAUACGUUCCCGGGCCUUGUACACACCGCCCGUCACACCAUGGGAGUCGGUAACACCCGAAGCCUGUAGUCUAACCGCAAGGGGGACGCAGUCGAAGGUGGGAUUGAUGACUGGGGUGAAGUCGUAACAAGGUAGC
rnacentral:rRNA from 1 species